AACUCUGGUAUUGAUUGGUGCUUGCAUCAUGAUUUACAUUUGCGUGAGUGGCGAACUGGUGAGUAACACGCGGGAAACCUGCCCACAAGCGGGGGAUAACACCUGGAAACAGAUGCUAAUACCGCAUAACAACUUGGACCGCAUGGUCCGAGUUUGAAAGAUGGCUUCGGCUAUCACUUUUGGAUGGUCCCGCGGCGUAUUAGCUAGAUGGUGGGGUAACGGCUCACCAUGGCAAUGAUACGUAGCCGACCUGAGAGGGUAAUCGGCCACAUUGGGACUGAGACACGGCCCAAACUCCUACGGGAGGCAGCAGUAGGGAAUCUUCCACAAUGGACGAAAGUCUGAUGGAGCAACGCCGCGUGAGUGAAGAAGGGUUUCGGCUCGUAAAACUCUGUUGUUAAAGAAGAACAUAUCUGAGAGUAACUGUUCAGGUAUUGACGGUAUUUAACCAGAAAGCCACGGCUAACUACGUGCCAGCAGCCGCGGUAAUACGUAGGUGGCAAGCGUUGUCCGGAUUUAUUGGGCGUAAAGCGAGCGCAGGCGGUUUUUUAAGUCUGAUGUGAAAGCCUUCGGCUCAACCGAAGAAGUGCAUCGGAAACUGGGAAACUUGAGUGCAGAAGAGGACAGUGGAACUCCAUGUGUAGCGGUGAAAUGCGUAGAUAUAUGGAAGAACACCAGUGGCGAAGGCGGCUGUCUGGUCUGUAACUGACGCUGAGGCUCGAAA
rnacentral:rRNA from 1 species